UACAGAGGGGGCAAGCGUUGUUCGGAAUUACUGGGCGUAAAGGGCGCGUAGGCGGCCUUCUAAGUCGAACGUGAAAUCCCCGGGCUCAACCCGGGAACUGCGUCCGAUACUGGAAGGCUUGAAUCCGGGAGAGGGAUGCGGAAUUCCAGGUGUAGCGGUGAAAUGCGUAGAUAUCGGGAGGAACACCGGUGGCGAAGGCGGUUCUCUGGGCCUGACCUGACGCUGAGGAGCGAAAGCGUGGGGAGCGAACAGG
rnacentral:rRNA from 1 species